AUUGAACGCUGGCGGCAUGCUUUACACAUGCAAGUCGAACGGUAACAGGCCUUCGGGUGCUGACGAGUGGCGAACGGGUGAGUAAUGCAUCGGAACGUGCCCAGAGGUGGGGGAUAACGCAGCGAAAGCUGUGCUAAUACCGCAUGUGAUCUGAGGAUGAAAGCGGGGGACCAGGCAGCAAUGUUUGGCCUCGCGCCUUUGGAGCGGCCGAUGUCAGAUUAGGUAGUUGGUGGGGUAAAGGCCUACCAAGCCGACGAUCUGUAGCUGGUCUGAGAGGACGACCAGCCACACUGGGACUGAGCCACGGCCCAGACUCCUACGGGAGGCAGCAGUGGGGAAUUUUGGACAAUGGGCGCAAGCCUGAUCCAGCAAUGCCGCGUGCGGGAAGAAGGCCUUCGGGGUGUAAACCGCUUUUGUACGGAACGAAAAGGCUCUGGCUAAUACCUGGGGCUGAUGACGGUACCGUAAGAAUAAGCACCGGCUAACUACGUG
rnacentral:rRNA from 1 species